GCAAAUGGGGUAGGUUAAUGGAAGAAGGUGGAGGAAAUCUCAAAACUUUUGGAAUGCUUAGAGGAUAACGGAGUGCUGUCUCAUGUCCUUCAUGCAUUUUGAAAAUGUUUUCUUUAAAGACACAUAGUGUCUUUAACUGAGUUACUUCUAUACACUAUUCUUGGAUUUUUUCUUAACCUCUACUCUCCACUCACCCACUUUCACUUGUUAAGUGGCUAGUUUUCAGAUUUUAGUUGUUUCUACUUCUCAUCUCCAAAAAACUGUACAAUCUAGAGGGGAAAAGUAACACACACACACACACACACACACACACACACACUGUAAAAAUAAGGCUAUUACCCAAGCAUUCUCCAGGAGUUUACAUACAUAUCUAUUCAGUAUGGAGAGAAACAUUCACAUUUUGUGUUUUGGUUUGAUAGUUAUUUGAAUCCUUCAUAUAAAAUUUUAAUAAUUAUCUGUUUUGGUAUUUUUGAGUGAUUUUUUUCCUCUUAUUUUGUAGUAAGGUAUUCCAAGGAAGUAAGUAAAGGCACAUUUUCCAGUGAAAUAUUGGACUUUGUAUGUUAGUAGUCUUGUCUUUUGUAAGAGACUGAACAGAAAGAAGCAAGGUUUAAGGGAAAAGUUGCUUUGGGUAUUUCAUCCAGACCUGCUAGCAACAUGUCGAGGAGAAAGAGGCAGGCGACUCAUUGCAGCAGUCAUGGCUGUUCACUCCCAGCAUAAAUCAGUGGCGAUUUCUCUUCCCACUUUUCUGUCUCUUAACUCAGGAGUCUCUUUGGCAUUUGGACCCUUGUCUUACACAUGAGGGAAGAGGCAAUAUCAUGGGCUUUAGUUGUGGAAUUUUCUAUUCACUUUGCAUGGUGUUUUUUACUCUUCCAAGCCCUACUCCAACCACAUUUUUUUCAAGAUUUUUAUUUCACCAGGAUUUUUCCAGGGUGCUUCAGGACUAAUAUCACCAAGUAUUCACCAGGUGAAGCACCUAAACAAAGAUUUAAGGAAAAUAAACUAUUAAAACCUCCUUAGGUCCACAACCCUAAAUGAGAGUUGCCCAUGGGGAGAAAUCCUAUGAUCCUGGAAUCAGUCUAAUAGCCUUUCUGCCUCUUCCCUUGGUCCUGCCAUCCAUUGUCAUGUCAUAAUGAUAACAAGAGAUGAUGCCCUCCAGCCUUUACAUUGCAUACUCCAGCCUCCCAACAUAUAACAUCAUCUCGAAACUAGAUAUUUUCCUCAGUUCUUCCCAGUGGCACAGGAAAAUUCUUUCCAAAAUAACAGGAUUAAACUAAGGGAAUAGAUCUAGGUCCUUGACCAAAGGUUACACUAGCUGUAUUAGUGCUUAUAGACUCGUCUUUCACUAGUACCAUACAGAGUAUGGAGAAAAGCUCUGGACAUGCAGAAGGAACAUUCCACUGCCCUGUGGCCUCUUUGAAUGACCUCUGACAGACAGUCACAUUCAGUCCAACUUUUUGGGAUAUGGAUGGGCAUCUGCCUAGUCAUAUUUUUCGUUACAGUCAAGUCCUACUCCAAAGGUUUUACCUGAACCAUUAACAUAGUCUCUUUUCUUUGAAUGGCAGCAUCAAUGUGUAAUCUUAUCCAGCCUUAAAUAUUCUUGCAAAAAAUACCAAACCUUGAUAAAAGUAGAAUCUUCAUAUUGUGAGAGGGAUUUUUUGUUUGGUGAGGCCUGAGAUCAAAAAUUUUCUUCUUCUGAAUUUGGCACGCAUCCUGAUACCCUACGGUGUCUUGAGCAGGCACUUCCCUGGCUGACUAGCCUAGGGCCUGAAGUCGGCUGUGUAUAAAUGAAUGCACAUAGUCACAUUCCAAUAAAACCUGGCUUGUAAGGGCAGGAAAUAAUUCAGAUUUAGUUCUUGGAAUUUAAUUUCUUAGUCCCAAAGGUAGAACAUUAUAAUGUCCAUUUCAAAUGAGAAAUUAAUCUCCCUCUGGCAUGUUUGGGGCCUUCUUUUAUGAAAAGUGAGAGAGCAAGGAAAAUUAAUUCUAAGUAAAUAAUCAACAUGCCCCCAAUAUAACUAUAUAUACAUAUAUAUAAAUGUUAGAAUAUUUAUUAUGGAAAAAGCACAAAAAAGCAAAAUAGAUCGUCUCCUAUGUGGAUCUGCUGGAGUUUCCCUUUGGAUCUUCUAAUUUUUGUUCCUGUAACAGAGACCUAAGUGAUGUUGUCUCAUUCCAAGUCAAUUUUGUAGGUCACAUAACAUGUCUUAAUACACUGUAUGGAAAAAAUUAAAGUUAGUUUUAGAUUUCUUUGUUUUCUAUGGUUAUUGUUGUACAGAAGAAAGACAUAAACUGUAAAUAAUGUAUAUUUAAUAAAGAGAG
rnacentral:lncRNA from 1 species